UGGGGAAUAUUGCACAAUGGACGCAAGCCUGAUGCAGCCAUGCCGCGUGUAUGAAGAAGGCCUUCGGGUUGUAAAGUACUUUCAGCGGGGAGGAAGGGAGUAAAGUUAAUACCUUUGCUCAUUGACGUUACCCGCAGAAGAAGCACCGGCUAACUCCGUGCCAGCAGCCGCGGUAAUACGGAGGGUGCAAGCGUUAAUCGGAAUUACUGGGCGUAAAGCGCACGCAGGCGGUUUGUUAAGUCAGAUGUGAAAUCCCCGGGCUCAACCUGGGAACUGCAUCUGAUACUGGCAAGCUUGAGUCUCGUAGAGGGGGGUAGAAUUCCAGGUGUAGCGGUGAAAUGCGUAGAGAUCUGGAGGAAUACCGGUGGCGAAGGCGGCCCCCUGGACGAAGACUGACGCUCAGGUGCGAAAGCGUGGGGAGCAAACAGG
rnacentral:rRNA from 1 species